rnacentral:rRNA from 1 species
GACGUAGGGCGCGAGCGUUGUCCGGAUUUAUUGGGCGUAAAGAGCUCGUAGGCGGCUUGUCGCGUCGACCGUGAAAACUUGGGGCUCAACCCCAAGCCUGCGGUCGAUACGGGCAGGCUAGAGUUCGGUAGGGGAGACUGGAAUUCCUGGUGUAGCGGUGAAAUGCGCAGAUAUCAGGAGGAACACCGAUGGCGAAGGCAGGUCUCUGGGCAUUAACUGACGCUGAGGAGCGAAAGCAUGGGGAGCGAACAGG